GGCAGUGGUAGUUCAGUGGUUAAAAUGUUGAGCUACCAAUCAGAAAGACAUGAGUUCAAAGCCCAGUGCUGCCA